AGCUAGUUGGCGAGGUAAUGGCCCACCAAGGCGACGAUCGGUAGCCGGACUGAGAGGUUGAACGGCCACAUUGGGACUGAGACACGGCCCAGACUCCUACGGGAGGCAGCAGUGGGGAAUAUUGCACAAUGGGGGAAACCCUGAUGCAGCGACGCCGCGUGGAGGAAGAAGGUCUUCGGAUUGUAAACUCCUGUUGUUGAGGAAGAUAAUGACGGUACUCAACAAGGAAGUGACGGCUAACUACGUGCCAGCAGCCGCGGUAAAACGUAGGUCACAAGCGUUGUCCGGAAUUACUGGGUGUAAAGGGAGCGCAGGCGGGAAGGCAAGUUGGAAGUGAAAUCCAUGGGCUCAACCCAUGAACUGCUUUCAAAACUGUUUUUCUUGAGUAGUGCAGAGGUAGGCGGAAUUCCCGGUGUAGCGGUGGAAUGCGUAGAUAUCGGGAGGAACACCAGUGGCGAAGGCGGCCUACUGGGCACUAGCUGACGCUGAGGCUCGAAAGUGUGGGUAGCAAACAGGAUUAGAUACCCUGGUAGUCCACACUGUAAACGAUGAUUACUAGGUGUUGGAGGAUUGACCCCUUCAGUGCCGCAGUUAACACAAUAAGUAAUCCACCUGGGGAGUACGACCGCAAGGUUGAAACUCAAAGGAAUUGACGGGGGCCCGCACAAGCAGUGGAGUAUGUGGUUUAAUUCGACGCAACGCGAAGAACCUUACCAAGUCUUGACAUCCUGCGACGCACAUAGAAAUAUGUGUUUCCUUCGGGACGCAGAGACAGGUGGUGCAUGGUUGUCGUCAGCUCGUGUCGUGAGAUGUUGGGUUAAGUCCCGCAACGAGCGCAACCCUUAUGGUCAGUUACUACGCAAGAGGACUCUGGCCAGACUGCCGUUGACAAAACGGAGGAAGGUGGGGAUGACGUCAAAUCAUCAUGCCCUUUAUGACUUGGGCUACACACGUACUACAAUGGCGUUAAACAAAGAGAAGCAAGACCGCGAGGUGGAGCAAAACUCAGAAACAACGUCCCAGUUCGGACUGCAGGCUGCAACUCGCCUGCACGAAGUCGGAAUUGCUAGUAAUCGCAGAUCAGCAUGCUGCGGUGAAUACGUUCCCGGGCCUUGUACACACCGCCCGUCACACCAUGAGAGCCGGGGGGACCCGAAGUCGGUAGUCUAACCGCAAGGAGGACGCCGCCGAAGGUAAAACUGGUGAUUGGGGUGAAGUCGUAACAAGGUAGCCGUAGGAGAACCUGCGGCUG
rnacentral:rRNA from 1 species